rnacentral:lncRNA from 1 species
UCGGUGAGGAUCCAGGCACCCAGACUCAUGGCUUCUAAACUGCUAAAAGCAACUGUUUUGUUUCCAUGUUGCUGCAGUGAUCUGGAAUGUGCUUUACUAAGACAAAUAUUACAGAACCAAAAAAAAAAAAAAAAGGAUGCUAAGUUCCUAUAAGACUUGUUCUCGGCUAUACUGUCACUUGGUGUAUCAGUUUAUUCAAAAGAAAAAAAAUUUAAGUGAAGAGGUCAGACCUUUGUGAGCUAUUGCCUGUGAGGAAUUACAUGUGUUUAGCAGAUGCCUGAGAGUAUUUUUCUAAACAGAACUCCUACCAUUUUAUUUCUUCUUUCAAAAAAAAAUCUGUCAUUAUAUAUUAAAUUUUUUGUUUUAUAUAUCAGAAUAAAACCUUUUUCUUUU